rnacentral:lncRNA from 1 species
GAACCACAGUGAUCUGACAUGAAGGGAAACUUUCCUCUAAUUUCUUCAGCUCCAAGACGGCUCCCAAUUCCUGUGUCUCUGACAUCUUUGAGAUCCUUGUGAUUGUUGCUAUUGAAGCCCAUCAGUGGGGUAUGUUACCACUGGAUGGCAUAUGAUACCCUGGUUUCAUGGAGCCCUGCUUGCCAAAUGGAAGAAAGGAACCAAUGCUGACUGGAGAUCUCACUGGAUGCUUUUCCACCAACUUUUUGUUCAGCCUAUGGUUAGGAAUAAUCUCACUAUUUUAGAUGAAAAAUUUGAAGUUUAGAUAGGCUGUGUUUUGUCUGCUAAUGUACAAGGAGGAGGGAUAGUAAUUGUGGUGAUAACUGUGUAUCGUGUGCUUCCCAUGAGCCAGGUUCCAGGCUGGGUGCAUCUAUGAAGAAUCCCUUUCAAUCCUCACAACAGCCUAUGAUUCCAACAAUUUUUACUCUUACUCUUUUUUUUUAUGAGUAUAGUUGAUUUACAGUGUUGUGUCAAUUUUUGCUGUACAUUAUAGGGACCCAGUCAUACACACAUACAUAUGUGU